rnacentral:rRNA from 1 species
UACGAAGGGGGCUAGCGUUGCUCGGAAUCACUGGGCGUAAAGCGCACGUAGGCGGACUCUUAAGUCGGUGGUGAAAUCCUGGAGCUCAACUCCAGAACUGCCUUCGAUACUGGGAGUCUCGAGUCCGGGAGAGGUGAGUGGAAUUCCCAGUGUAGCGGUGAAAUGCGUAGAUAUCUGGAGGAACACCGGUGGCGAAGGCGGCAUCCUGGACCGGCAUUGACGCUGAGGAGCGAAAGCCAGGGGAGCAAACGGG